rnacentral:misc_RNA from 1 species
CCURAAGAUACGAAAUUGUGUAGUGCUCACACAGAUUGUCUGAUAGAUGUUCGAGCAAACGCGUCUGCGAAGCCGACCCUGUGUCCCCUUCGUCUAGAGGCCUAGGACACCGCCCUUUCACGGCGGUAACAGGGGUUCGAAUCCCCUAGGGGACGCCAUUUGCGGUAUCGGGUGAAAGACGAUGCCAACUGUAUUGCAAAACGGACUUACGAGUCAUGUUUGCAAUAUUUGCUCUUUAACAAUCUGGAACAAGCUGAAAAUUCGAAAACAAUCGAAUUGCUUUUAAUAAGUGAUUCGAGAGUCUCUCAAAUGCUUACAGCACGAAGUGAAACACCUUCGGGUUGUGA